AUUGAACGCUGGCGGCAUGCUUUACACAUGCAAGUCGAACGGUAACAGGCCGCAAGGUGCUGACGAGUGGCGGACGGGUGAGUAAUGCAUCGGAACGUGCCCAGUCGUGGGGGAUAACUACUCGAUAGAGUAGCUAAUACCGCAUACGAUCUAUGGAUGAAAGCGGGGGACCGUAAGGCCUCGCGCGAUUGGAGCGGCCGAUGUCAGAUUAGGUAGUUGGUGGGGUAAAGGCUCACCAAGCCAACGAUCUGUAGCUGGUCUGAGAGGACGACCAGCCACACUGGGACUGAGACACGGCCCAGACUCCUACGGGAGGCAGCAGUGGGGAAUUUUGGACAAUGGGCGCAAGCCUGAUCCAGCAAUGCCGCGUGCAGGAAGAAGGCCUUCGGGUUGUAAACUGCUUUUGUACGGAACGAAACGGCUCUGGUUAAUACCCGGGGCUAAUGACGGUACCGUAAGAAUAAGCACCGGCUAACUACGUG
rnacentral:rRNA from 1 species